AUUGAACGCUGGCGGCAUGCCUUACACAUGCAAGUCGAACGGCAGCACGGGUGCUUGCACCUGGUGGCGAGUGGCGAACGGGUGAGUAAUACAUCGGAACAUGUCCUGUAGUGGGGAAUAGCCCGGCGAAAGCCGGAUUAAUACCGCAUACGAUCUACGGAUGAAAGCGGGGGACCUUCGGGCCUCGCGCUAUAGGGUUGGCCGAUGGCUGAUUAGCUAGUUGGUGGGGUAAAGGCCUACCAAGGCGACGAUCAGUAGCUGGUCUGAGAGGACGACCAGCCACACUGGGACUGAGACACGGCCCAGACUCCUACGGGAGGCAGCAGUGGGGAAUUUUGGACAAUGGGCGAAAGCCUGAUCCAGCAAUGCCGCGUGUUUGAAGAAGGCCUUCGGGUUGUAAAGCACUUUUGUCCGGAAAGAAAUCCUUGGCCCUAAUACGGUCGGGGGAUGACGGUACCGGAAGAAUAAGCACCGGCUAACUACGUG
rnacentral:rRNA from 1 species